rnacentral:rRNA from 1 species
GACGUAGGGCGCGAGCGUUGUCCGGAUUUAUUGGGCGUAAAGAGCUCGUAGGCGGCUUGUCGCGUCGAAUGUGAAAUCUCAGGGCUCAACUCUGACAUUGCAUUCGAUACGGGCAGGCUAGAGUUCGGUAGGGGAGACUGGAAUUCCUGGUGUAGCGGUGAAAUGCGCAGAUAUCAGGAGGAACACCGAUGGCGAAGGCAGGUCUCUGGGCAAUUAACUGACGCUGGAGGAGCGAAAGCAUGGGGAGC